rnacentral:rRNA from 1 species
UACAGAGGGGGCGAGCGUUGUUCGGAAUUACUGGGCGUAAAGGGCUCGUAGGCGGCCAACUAAGUCAUACGUGAAAUCCCUCAGCUUAACUGGGGAACUGCGUGUGAUACUGGAUGGCUUGGAUUUGGGAGAGGGAUGCGGAAUUCCAGGUGUAGCGGUGAAAUGCGUAGAUAUCUGGAGGAACACCGGUGGCGAAGGCGGCAUCCUGGACCAAUAUUGACGCUGAGGAGCGAAAGCCAGGGGAGCAAACGGG